UCUUAGUGGCACACAUAAUAAACCAGAUUA
rnacentral:piRNA from 1 species